rnacentral:rRNA from 1 species
CAGCAGCCGCGGGAAUACGAAGGGGGCUAGCGUUGUUCGGAAUUACUGGGCGUAAAGGGCGCGUAGGCGGCCAUUCAAGUUAGAUGUGAAAGCCCUGGGCUCAACCUAGGAAUUGCAUUUGAUACUGUUUGGCUUGAGUUCGGGAGAGGUGAGUGGAAUUCCCAGCGUAGAGGUGAAAUUCGUAGACAUUGGGAAGAACACCAGUGGCGAAGGCGGCUCACUGGACCGACACUGACGCUGAGGCGCGAAAGCGUGGGGAGCAAACAGGAUUAGAUACCCGCGUAGUCCCUGUCUCUUAUAC